CAAAGGGCAGCCUGAUUGAUUUCCUCUCUGGAAUUCGAGUCUCUAACACUAGAAAUGUAAACCCAGGGAUCCCUGGGUGGCUCAGUGGUUUCUCGCCUGCCUUUGGCCCAAGGCGUGAUCCUGGAGUCCCGGGAUCGAGUCCUGAGUCGGGCUCCCGGCAUGGAGCCUGCUCUCCCUCCUCCUGUGUCUCUGCCUCUCUCUCUCUCUCUCUCUGUCUAUCAUAAAUAAAUAAAAAUAAAUCUUAAAAAAAAAAAAGAAAUGUAAACCCACUGGAUGUCCUGCUUUGGUGAAGAACGCGUUUCUCUCUGCCAGACGGGCAGCAUCUUGGAGACAGAACUCCUCUUCUGAUUACACAACUGCCCUUGAGAUGUGUGACCGCCACCUCGCCUUGAACAGCCUCAUGGGGCAGGUUCUGAACCGUCCUCGGGGCCGGGUACCCUCCUCCCCACCACAGCAAACGAGGCCACUUCUGCUGUCCAUCCUGGUCGUGGGGAAAGUGGGGCCCCUAGAGGGGAACGGAGAUGUAUUUAUUUGAAAGAGAGAGAGAGAGCGCGAGAGAACAAGCAUGCAAGCAGAGGAAGGGGCAGAGUGAGAGGCUGAGAGAAUCCCACUUGAAACCAGCUCCCAAACUCUUAGGACAAGUCGUGUCUUCCAGCUGCUUCUGGGCUGCAACUCUCUGCCCACCGCUGCCAGUUCACAGUCACUGGCCGCCCUGUGGCAGCAUUCUCGGGCUAUUCAGCUGGAGGGUACGAGUCGCAGUGCUGCACACCUCAGCCACCUGAGCAAAGCCAGCUUCAAUCAGCUGACAGCCCAAAGCACGACUGGCCAAGGUCAGCAGAGCCGGAGGUCAGUGGGCUGCUCAGACAUGUGAGCAAUAACAGCUCCUGGUUGUAGGCCGCCGAGGCUUCGAAGGCUGCGUGUUACAUACAGCUUCACUGUGGCUACAGACAACCGACAUGUCCACUGAUAAGUCAGAUGAUGACGCACCCUCUGAAGAACUAGUAGCAGCAGCUUUCACCUUCAAAUAAAAUGGGUCCCUACAGAUGGCUCUUCACUUGCACUACCUUGAGCUGAAGACCUUUCACUGGCCUUCAAUUCUACAGAUGUGAUCCUGGAGACCCAGGAUCGAGUCCCACGUCGGGCUCCCUGCCUGGAGCCCUGCUUCUCCCUCUGCCUGUGUCUCUGCCUCUCUCUCUCUCGGUGUCUCUCAUGAAUAAUAAUAAAAAAAAAAAUCUUAAAAAAAAAAAGAAACCACAGAAUGAGCACAUCAAGAAGUAAAUAUCAUUCUUUAUCAGGCAUCAGGUCAAUGGAGAUGGGAGAAGCAAAGCCAAGAAAAGUGAUGCCUCCCCGUAUUUGCACAACUUCAGAUAGUAGGGGACAGACCUACCUCUACCCAGACGGGGUGGCUGUUUGCAGCAAGAGAUGUUCUUCAUGUUGGCUUCUGGAUAAAACUCGUCUUCACGUAGAGGUCAGCGUAUGUACAGAUCAUUGAAAGGGAAACCCUGUAAGACUUACUGGUAAGCAGUGGUGGUGUUUGGCUUUCCUAAUUUCAAUGUGGAUCAGAAGCACAGAUAAGAGUCUGGCAAGACAAAUUCAUGAACCAAAGUCCGUUGUUCUAGCCAUCGCAGCCUCACUGGCCUCCUGAGCUGGAGUCUCCAAACUCUUAACACAUAGAGACAAAUAAAUAAAAGUAUUCUGUUC